GAUGAAGAACGCAGCGAAAUGCGAUAAGUAGUGUGAAUUGCAGAAUUCAGUGAAUCAUCGAAUCUUUGAACGCACAUUGCGCCCCAUGGUAUUCCGUGGGGCAUGCCUGUUCGAGCGUCAUUUACCCCCUCAAGCUCCGCUUGGUGUUGGGCGUCUGUCCCGCUUCGCGCGCGGACUCGCCCCAAAGGUAUUGGCAGCGGUCGUGCCAGCUUCUCGCGCAGCACAUUGCGCUUCUCGAGGCACCGGUGGGCCCGCGUCCAUCAAGCUCACCCCCCCAGUUUGACCUCGGAUCAGGUAGGGAUACCCGCUGAACUUAAGCAUAUCAAUAGGAGGA
rnacentral:misc_RNA from 1 species